rnacentral:rRNA from 1 species
GACGAACGCUGGCGGCGUGCUUAACACAUGCAAGUCGAACGAUGAAGCCUAGCUUGCUAGGUGGAUUAGUGGCGAACGGGUGAGUAAUACGUGAGUGACCUACCUUUGACUCUGGGAUAAGCCUGGGAAACUGGGUCUAAUACCGGAUACGACCAAUCUCUGCAUGGGGUGUUGGUGGAAAGCGUUAUGGAGUGGUUUUAGAUGGGCUCACGGCCUAUCAGCUUGUCGGUGAGGUAAUGGCUUACCAAGGCGACGACGGGUAGCCGGCCUGAGAGGGUGACCGGCCACACUGGGACUGAGACACGGCCCAGACUCCUACGGGAGGCAGCAGUGGGGAAUAUUGCACAAUGGGCGCAAGCCUGAUGCAGCGACGCCGCGUGAGGGAUGACGGCCUUCGGGUUGUAAACCUCUGUUAGCAUCGAAGAAGCGAAAGUGACGGUAGGUGCACAUAAAGCGCCGGCUAACUACGUGCCACCAGCCGCGGUAAUACCUACGGCGCGAGCGUUGUCCGGAAUUAUUGGGCGCAAAGAGCUUGUAGGCGGUUGGCCGCGUCUGCUGUGAAAGGACGGGGCUUAACUCCCGUUUUGCACUGGGUACGGGCUAACUAGAGUGCAGUAAGGGAGACUGGAAUUCCUGGUGUAGCGGUGGAAUGCACAGAUAUCAGGGAGGAACACCGAUGGCGAAGGCAGGUGUUGAGGCUUUAACUGACGCUGUGAAGCGAAAGCAUGGGGAGCGAGCAGGAUUAGAUACCGUGGUAGUCCAUGCCGUAAACGUUGAGCACUAGGUGUGAGGGACAUUGCGAGUUUUCCGCGCCGUAGCUAACGCAUUAAGUGCCCCGCUUGGGGAGUACGGCCGCAAGGCUAGAAACUCAAAGGAAGUGACGGGGGCCCGCACAAGCGGCGGAGCAUGCGGAUUAAUUUGAUGCAACGCGAAGAACCUUACCAAGGCUUGACAUGCAUUAGAUCGCGUCAGAGAUGGCGUUUCCCUUCGGGGCUGGUGUACAGGUGGUGCAUGGUUGUCGUCAGCUCGUGUCGUGAGAUGUUGGGUUAAGUCCCGCAACGAGCGCAACCCUCGUUUUAUGUUGCCAGCGGUUCGGCCGGGGACUCAUAGGAGACUGCCGGGGUCAACUCGGAGGAAGGUGGGGAUGACGUCAAAUCAUCAUGCCCCCUAUGUCUUGGGGUUCACGCAUGCUACAAUGGCCGGUACAGAGGGUUGCGAUACUGUGAGGUGGAGCUAAUCCCUUAAAACCGGUCUCAGUUCGGAUUGGGGUCUGCAACUCGACCCCAUGAAGUCGGAGUCGCUAGUAAUCGCAGAUCAGCAACGCUGCGGUGAAUACGUUCCCGGGCCU